CAGACAGCACAAGUACGUCUGCCCGACGUCGGCUCAAGAGCGUACGUCGGCCUCCUUAUCUGAAACAUCUAAUAAGUAUCGGCCAGGCAUCGGCCAAAUCUUCAGUCAAGUCAACGGUAUUUCCCGCUCAUCAAGCUUGUCUGUUACGUCGGCUUUGGGUCGGAUAACUAUACCGGAGGCCGAUGCCGCGCUUCUCUCUGUUGGUGCGUGCCCAGUUACUCCUCCCUUUGCAACCCACCAGAGCAAAGGCGACAUCAUGGGUGUAUCAAGUAUGUACAAGAACUAAGUAAAUGAUAAUAAGUGGAGAAAAAUGGAAUCCGUUAAGUAAAUGUAAAUGUUUUAAUAUAAUAUACAAGUAAAAAUAAAUAAAAUAGCAGCGCUUUCUUUGCUUUUAAUGACACACAGCUGCUAAGUUCCAUUAUUCCGAAGCAGGAGGGGGCAGUAAUGUACAUACGCUGGUUGCCAGCCGCCGUUAAUACUCAAACAAUUCCACGUCAACUCGAACACGCAAAACCCCGGUAUGAUGCAUUGUCAUGAGCAUGCCAAACCAACAGAUGGCGAUAUAUUCCUUAACCCAGAGAAGCCACUACAGUCUCGUCUUGCCAUGAACAAGGAAAAAAUGCGGGAGCUGACUUCGCAGACGUACGUGGCUCAGGCAGAUGGCCAUUGCUUUUCUGAACAGCAGUUGGAAGUAUUCUGAGGUCAUUGGCACUGCUGUAUCACAACAUCAUUUGCUGUGCCUGGGAUAAUGAAGACAAUUUGGGUUGUCAUGUUACACGCCAGGUGAACAACAUCAGAGUGCGGCAGUCAGAGAUCCUAAAGAAGGACUCCAUAUGUUUACUCGAGACAGUACGCCGUACAUCUCUUACGACAAGGAUAUUUGUUUCAGGACCGCUUUCCCGAUACUGACAAGGACAUUUAAGCAAUUAUGUGAGCUGCAGUCUGGAUCCUGCCUCUGUCAGAUGACCUAACACAAAUGGAAAGAUGACAUCGACCCUUGCAAGGACUUCAGACGAUGCCAGCACUGGACUACAUACAGUGGUAAUCAUGGGUGCCCAAACUUGUGCAUGUCACUGUACUGAUAUAUACUAUACAAAUAAUAUUUUCAGUAGUCUGUGUCAAAUUUUAUUUCAAGGUAAGAUAGCUUUACAUGUUUUUUAUUGUGCUUUAGUGAUCACACAGGCCCUGUUUAUGUUCUUAACCGGCAUGAGUUUAUUUAUUGUGAUAUACACAAAACAAGAUAUUUUGAUAAAUCAUGUUAAGUACACAGCUGCUCAUUUACUUCAAUAAAAUGUCUUUUUCCUAUUAUGGAAGUCAAUGGGUACCAUCAACUGUAUGAUUGACAUCAUUUAUCAGAUUAAAGAAUUUUUGGCAAGUUUAUAACAACAUGAAGGUGAGUAAAUGAUACAAUUAUCAUUUUUACGUAAACUUUUAGCUUUGAAGGAUUAUUUACUCAACCCCAUGUCAUCCAAGAUGUUUGUCUUUCUUUCUUUAGCCAAACACAAUUAAAGUUAUAUUUAAUACUGUCCUGGCCAGUGGCAGCUCAUGACUGCUCUUCUGAGGGGUGCGAAUUCAAAAUAAGUGUUCAGAGUGUCAUGUGUGUUGCUCGUGUUUUCAAAAAUAUGUGUUUGUUGCGUCAUGUAAACCAUGUGCAUCACGUGUCUUGUCAAAAGAAGUGCCUGCUGCACACGCGUCAAAACCUUUUAUGAUAAAAGAGAUGCUCACGUUCACAAAAUACACACAACACAUUCACUUAACAUUAAACUCUGAUUACACAUGAGAUAAUGCAGGUAUCUUUUAUCAUAAACCCUUCAGACGUGUGUGCAGCAGGCACUUAUUUUGACAUGACACGUGAUUCACAUGCGACACGCCUAACACAUAUCUUAAAAUGACGAACCACACACAUAACGGGCUACAUACAUGUUGGGAUGAGCUUCGCAUUGCAUUGUGCGCCCUCGGAAAAUAAGUCCUUGUCCGCCACUGGUCCUGGUUCUUCAAUGCUUAAUAAUGGCAUUGACUGGGCAUCAAUGUUUUGAAGUUCCAAAAGUGCAUCCAUUCAUCAUUAAAGUGAUCCAUAUAUAACCCAGUGGUUCUUCUGAUGCAAAAUGAUAGGCUUAUGAGAAAAACUUUAUAUUUUAAGCUUUAAGCGAGUUACGAUGCAUACGUUAUGUAAACAGACUACAACAACUCAAUCGCAUUGUUUCUCACGUGUCUCUACUGCGUUUCAUCACAAUUCAUAUUACGACUAGUCAUGAGAUGCAUAACAUCCAAUGCGAUAACACGUGCUGCCAUAUUUAAAUUGUCUUUUUAACUUUGUAAAUGUCUUGUCUCUAUCACAAAAAGCAAUAAAUAUGAAUAGUUUUUCUCACAAACGUAUUGUUUCGCUUCAGAAGACAUUUAUUAAUCCACUGGUUACAUAUGGAUUACUUUAAUGAUGGAUGGAUAUACUUUUAAGCUUUGAAAAACAUUGAUCCCAGUCAAUGACAUUAUAAAGCAAAAAUAUAAAUACAAUAUAUAAAUGUAAAGAACCAGGAAAUUAUUUAAUAUAACUCUGAUUGUGUUCUGUUAAAAAAGUAAUAGAUAACUUCUUGGAUGACAUGAAUUUGAAUAAUCAGUCAAUUUUCAUUUUGGUGGGAGGAGUAAUCCUUUAACUCAUUCGAGUCAUCAGACAGUCAUCUUGUUGCUUUGACUGAAUUCAGUUACAGAUCAAAAUCCCUGGUGGUAAAUCAACACUGCUCAGUCUUAUCUAUUUGAGUACACUGACGAUCCUGAAGGUGUGUUUAACAUUAAUAAAAUAAUAAAGUAAUGCAUAAAGUAAUAAUUGAACAUUACUGAUGAUGUGUGCUGUUAACAAGCAGAAUGGUAAAGAUAAACUAAAACAAAGACGUCAAAGCAACAAGAUGACUUUGUUCAGACAACUCAACCCUUUUAAAAUGUGUUUUAUUUAACAGUGCAUUUUAUCCUUUAUCUUAGACAAAGCAGGCCAUGUUAACUUCAUUUAAUACAUUCUGGAACAAAUCUGGGUCCACUUAUCAUUUCUACUUACAAAUUAACAUUUCUGUU